GUGCACAUUCCUACUUAAUUAAAAAUUUUCAGCAGCACAUAUACUAAAAUUGGAGUGACACAGGAAGAUUAGCAUGGUCCCUGCACAAGGAUGGCACACAAAUUCAUGAAGUGCUCCAUAUUUAA
ensembl:snRNA U6 U6 spliceosomal RNA